rnacentral:rRNA from 1 species
AUUGAACGCUGGCGGCAGGCUUAACACAUGCAAGUCGAGCGGUAGCACAGGGGAGCUUGCCCCCUGGGUGACGAGCGGCGGACGGGUGAGUAAUGUCUGGGAAACUGCCUGAUGGAGGGGGAUAACUACUGGAAACGGUAGCUAAUACCGCAUAACGUCGCAAGACCAAAGAGGGGGACCUUCGGGCCUCUUGCCAUCAGAUGUGCCCAGAUGGGAUUAGCUAGUAGGUGGGGUAAUGGCUCACCUAGGCGACGAUCCCUAGCUGGUCUGAGAGGAUGACCAGCCACACUGGAACUGAGACACGGUCCAGACUCCUACGGGAGGCAGCAGUGGGGAAUAUUGCACAAUGGGCGCAAGCCUGAUGCAGCCAUGCCGCGUGUGUGAAGAAGGCCUUCGGGUUGUAAAGCACUUUCAGCGAGGAGGAAGGUGGUGAGCUUAAUACGCUCAUCAAUUGACGUUACUCGCAGAAGAAGCACCGGCUAACUCCGUG